rnacentral:rRNA from 1 species
GGGGGGGGGGGGGGGGGGGGGGGGGGGGUGGGGGUCGGGCGGGGGGGGGGUGGGGGGGGGCUCGGGCGGGGGGCGGGUGGCGGGCGGGGGCGGAGUGCAUCGGACUCUACUUUUUCGUGGGGGAUCGCGUAGGGAAACUUACGCUACUACCUCAUACGACCUACGGGUGAACGCAGGGGAUCUUCGGCCCUUGCGCAAUUGACUGCGCCGAUGUCGGAUUAGCUAGUUGGCGGGGUAAAGGCCCACCAAGCCGACGAUCCGUAGCUGGUCUGAGAGGAUGAUCAGCCACACUGGAACUGAGACACGGUCCAGACUCCUACGGGAGGCAGCAGUGGGGAAUAUUGGACAAUGGGCGCAAGCCUGAUCCAGCCAUACCGCGUGGGUGAAGAAGGCCUUCGGGUUGUAAAGCCCUUUUGUUGGGAAAGAAAAGCAGCAGGUUAAUACCCCGCUGUUCUGACGGUACCCAAAGAAUAAGCACCGGCUAACUUCGUG